rnacentral:rRNA from 1 species
ACUAAGCGUACACGGUGGAUGCCCUGGCAGUCAGAGGCGAUGAAGGACGUGCUAAUCUGCGAUAAGCGUCGGUAAGGUGAUAUGAACCGUUAUAACCGGCGAUUUCCGAAUGGGGAAACCCAGUGUGUUUCGACACACUAUCAUUAACUGAAUCCAUAGGUUAAUGAGGCGAACCGGGGGAACUGAAACAUCUAAGUACCCCGAGGAAAAGAAAUCAACCGAGAUUCCCCCAGUAGCGGCGAGCGAACGGGGAGCAGCCCAGAGCCUGAAUCAGUGUGUGUGUUAGUGGAAGCGUCUGGAAAGGCGCGCGAUACAGGGUGACAGCCCCGUACACAAAAAUGCACAUGCUGUGAGCUCGAUGAGUAGGGCGGGACACGUGGUAUCCUGUCUGAAUAUGGGGGGACCAUCCUCCAAGGCUAAAUACUCCUGACUGACCGAUAGUGAACCAGUACCGUGAGGGAAAGGCGAAAAGAACCCCGGCGAGGGGAGUGAAAAAGAACCUGAAACCGUGUACGUACAAGCAGUGGGAGCACGCUUAGGCGUGUGACUGCGUACCUUUUGUAUAAUGGGUCAGCGACUUAUAUUCUGUAGCAAGGUUAACCGAAUAGGGGAGCCGAAGGGAAACCGAGUCUUAACUGGGCGUUAAGUUGCAGGGUAUAGACCCGAAACCCGGUGAUCUAGCCAUGGGCAGGUUGAAGGUUGGGUAACACUAACUGGAGGACCGAACCGACUAAUGUUGAAAAAUUAGCGGAUGACUUGUGGCUGGGGGUGAAAGGCCAAUCAAACCGGGAGAUAGCUGGUUCUCCCCGAAAGCUAUUUAGGUAGCGCCUCGUGAAUUCAUCUCCGGGGGUAGAGCACUGUUUCGGCAAGGGGGUCAUCCCGACUUACCAACCCGAUGCAAACUGCGAAUACCGGAGAAUGUUAUCACGGGAGACACACGGCGGGUGCUAACGUCCGUCGUGAAGAGGGAAACAACCCAGACCGCCAGCUAAGGUCCCAAAGUCAUGGUUAAGUGGGAAACGAUGUGGGAAGGCCCAGACAGCCAGGAUGUUGGCUUAGAAGCAGCCAUCAUUUAAAGAAAGCGUAAUAGCUCACUGGUCGAGUCGGCCUGCGCGGAAGAUGUAACGGGGCUAAACCAUGCACCGAAGCUGCGGCAGCGACGCUUAUGCGUUGUUGGGUAGGGGAGCGUUCUGUAAGCCUGCGAAGGUGUGCUGUGAGGCAUGCUGGAGGUAUCAGAAGUGCGAAUGCUGACAUAAGUAACGAUAAAGCGGGUGAAAAGCCCGCUCGCCGGAAGACCAAGGGUUCCUGUCCAACGUUAAUCGGGGCAGGGUGAGUCGACCCCUAAGGCGAGGCCGAAAGGCGUAGUCGAUGGGAAACAGGUUAAUAUUCCUGUACUUGGUGUUACUGCGAAGGGGGGACGGAGAAGGCUAUGUUGGCCGGGCGACGGUUGUCCCGGUUUAAGCGUGUAGGCUGGUUUUCCAGGCAAAUCCGGAAAAUCAAGGCUGAGGCGUGAUGACGAGGCACUACGGUGCUGAAGCAACAAAUGCCCUGCUUCCAGGAAAAGCCUCUAAGCAUCAGGUAACAUCAAAUCGUACCCCAAACCGACACAGGUGGUCAGGUAGAGAAUACCAAGGCGCUUGAGAGAACUCGGGUGAAGGAACUAGGCAAAAUGGUGCCGUAACUUCGGGAGAAGGCACGCUGAUAUGUAGGUGAAGUCCCUCGCGGAUGGAGCUGAAAUCAGUCGAAGAUACCAGCUGGCUGCAACUGUUUAUUAAAAACACAGCACUGUGCAAACACGAAAGUGGACGUAUACGGUGUGACGCCUGCCCGGUGCCGGAAGGUUAAUUGAUGGGGUUAGCCGCAAGGCGAAGCUCUUGAUCGAAGCCCCGGUAAACGGCGGCCGUAACUAUAACGGUCCUAAGGUAGCGAAAUUCCUUGUCGGGUAAGUUCCGACCUGCACGAAUGGCGUAAUGAUGGCCAGGCUGUCUCCACCCGAGACUCAGUGAAAUUGAACUCGCUGUGAAGAUGCAGUGUACCCGCGGCAAGACGGAAAGACCCCGUGAACCUUUACUAUAGCUUGACACUGAACAUUGAGCCUUGAUGUGUAGGAUAGGUGGGAGGCUUAGAAGUGUGGACGCCAGUCUGCAUGGAGCCGACCUUGAAAUACCACCCUUUAAUGUUUGAUGUUCUAACGUGGACCCGUAAUCCGGGUUGCGGACAGUGUCUGGUGGGUAGUUUGACUGGGGCGGUCUCCUCCUAAAGAGUAACGGAGGAGCACGAAGGUUGGCUAAUCCUGGUCGGACAUCAGGAGGUUAGUGCAAUGGCAUAAGCCAGCUUGACUGCGAGCGUGACGGCGCGAGCAGGUGCGAAAGCAGGUCAUAGUGAUCCGGUGGUUCUGAAUGGAAGGGCCAUCGCUCAACGGAUAAAAGGUACUCCGGGGAUAACAGGCUGAUACCGCCCAAGAGUUCAUAUCGACGGCGGUGUUUGGCACCUCGAUGUCGGCUCAUCACAUCCUGGGGCUGAAGUAGGUCCCAAGGGUAUGGCUGUUCGCCAUUUAAAGUGGUACGCGAGCUGGGUUUAGAACGUCGUGAGACAGUUCGGUCCCUAUCUGCCGUGGGCGCUGGAGAACUGAGGGGGGCUGCUCCUAGUACGAGAGGACCGGAGUGGACGCAUCACUGGUGUUCGGGUUGUCAUGCCAAUGGCACUGCCCGGUAGCUAAAUGCGGAAGAGAUAAGUGCUGAAAGCAUCUAAGCACGAAACUUGCCCCGAGAUGAGUUCUCCCUGACCCUUUAAGGGUCCUGAAGGAACGUUGAAGACGACGACGUUGAUAGGCCGGGUGUGUAAGCGCAGCGAUGCGUUGAGCUAACCGGUACUAAUGAACCGUGAGGCUUAACC